rnacentral:lncRNA from 1 species
AGUUUGCAGGUGCCUAUGUUACCGAGCAGGUGACGCAACCAAGCUCAAGGAGGAGCUCGAUGAAGAUCUUGCCCUUUGUGUUGUUUCGUUCUAGUUGAUCAGUAGUGGAGCCCAGUUGGGGUCGAUCAGGGACCUUUGUCGCAUUUGGGGUUGUUCUUUUAUUUUGGUUCCGUAGUCGGACCUUGAUUGUAUCUGGAUGAUGUAAUGCUUUAUUCAUGUAAUUGUGUGAAGUGGCGAUUGUAAGCCAACUAUGUAUCUCUUUCCCUUAUGUAUUACAUGGGUUGUGUGAAGAUUACCUCACUUGCGACAUUGCUUUCAAUGCGGUUAUGCCUCUAAGUCGUGCUUCGACACGUGGGAGAUAUAGCCGCAUCGAGGGUGUUACAAGUUGGUAAUCAGAGCCUUCCCCGACCUUAGGAGCCCCACUGCUUGAUCGUUUUUAGCGGCCGAGUUGUGUCUAGAAAAAUGUUUUGAGUCAUUUAGGAUUAUAUAUAUCGGAGAGCUAGGAAUUCUUUUUACUCCUCAGUCUCUUCAUCGCUCUGGUAAGGCAUCCUGACGUAGAGUUUUGACUCUUCUCUUCUCAAAUUUCACUAAAAAAAAUUUUAGGAUCACGCGGGUAUCUUGGAAUCGUUCCGAUGGUUUUAUGAUGAGAACAUUGUCUUGGUGCCUCCUGUCAGGGGUUUAGUGGAAGUGUCCCGGGGAGUUGAGCUCUGAGGUGUUGUCAUCAUAAUUUUAUCGUUGCAGUUCUGGAAUACCUGAGUUUAGUACGCCGACAUCGAAAAUCUCUUUUAUGCAGUUGUUGGUGAGAUAACCCCGAUAACCCAGUACUGAGGUGAGUACGGGAGUAUUGCCAUGACUCGUAUAACGGAUGCUUUUCGAAGGUUGAGGUAGACGAUUUCCGAAGCUUUCUUGGUUAUGUGUUGAAGGAUGGAUACAGCUGGAUGUAGUAUUUGCUAGUUUUGGGUGAGAUAUUAUGCUUCCCCUGUAUCCCUAACACCUGAUUGCAUAACUGGAAAAUUUCGGGAGUUUCAUAGGUGGGAAUUCAAGUAGCUCUUAGGAUAUCUUUCCGACGGAUGUAUGAUAUGAAAUUGGGGUUCGACGUCUAGUGGUCCGCCUAUUCACGGUUGGUUUUACAGUUGUCUCGUUGUGUCUUAAAGAGUCCUUGGCUAUGCCGAUUCGGGGACACUUCGUAUGUCAUGUGCACUGCCUUGUACAUGAUGGUGUUGUACGAUCGAGCCCGUGUAGGCCCCACCACGAAAACUUCGGACGAAAUCUCUAUCAUAUGUUUGUUCCGGCUUAUUCUGCAAGCCAGUCCUUUGUUUUUGUUUUGAGUUGUGGUAUUCGAGUUGCUUCAAUGUCAAGUGUUGAUUCCAUACCUUUCCAAAAUGGUGUUCUCAUACUCCGAUGUGAAUACCAAUCCUUCUCGACAAUCGAGAUUGUCAUGUCAAUCCUUUUCAACCGGCGUGUUUCUCUUCAAGUGGAUCCGAUCACUUCAACAUCAGCAAGACCAAUUAUCAUUUCUUCUCAAUGUUGUUUGUUUCAUCCGUCUCCAAGUUGCCUUUGUUUUUUCCCGCCCACCCACCCUUUUUCCUCAAGGACUAAGAUUUCUUUACCAAGUAUCCUUUUAUUUUUGUGAAGUUUCUCCAUUCUUUUCCGUCAAUGUUCUUACCCGGUGGUUCUCAAGAAGAUGUUCUACUAGUUCGUCAUUCCUCAUUCCUUUCUCUUCUCCGGUGGAUUCAAGUCAAGUUUUGUUGAUCAUACCUUUUUCCUCAUUUCAAUGUCUUCUCAUACCGGUGCACCUCAUUAUCAUUCUACUUCUCGCUAUUUGUUAUUCCGGAGUGCUCAAGAUAUCUCGAAGAUUCGUGUUUCCACUCUGCAUUCGUUCAAGCUAUUUCGAGAUUGGUAUCUCAUUCAAGUCAUUUAAUUCAACCGGUGCAACAUCUCUUUGAAAUCUUUUCAACGGUGUUCUUUUGAGUGGGCCCUAACCCACAGGUCUUUUCCCAGGAUCUUACCUGACUCUUCUAUUUUCCCAGAGCUAUCCUAAAUUCUUCUCCAAGUUUGACGUAAGAAUGAGUUAUCAUCAGUCAAAUGCUUUUCUCCAAGAUCUUUCAAAUUCUUUUCAUAGUUGGCUCAACCUCUUCGCUUUUGAUUCUUCCGGUGUGCCUCAAUAAUUCUUGGUGGUGUUUCUCGUUGUCAUUCUCAUCAUUUGAAGACCGAAGAAGAGUUUCUCUUUAAUCUUGCUCUAUUCUCUUCAAGAUUCAUGGUGCUAGCUUGUUGCCAUCCUCUCAUAAUUGUUUUCGAUUGUGAGAAUCUUUUUCACCCAUCAGGAGUUAUUCAAGAGUCUUCUCAGGUUGUCAUCCGGAGUCCAUCAAUUCAGGUUUAUUCAUUCUCAGCUGUCAGUUAUCAUUCUCCUAUCUUGCCGGUGCAUCAAUCGAAUAUCCUCUAAUCAGUUCUUGAUCUCUUUGUUCUCAUGUAUCUAGUUUGUUUCAAGCACCUUCGUUCAUUUGCUAAUUCUUACCGGUGAUGCACCCCUACUUCGAUCAUUUUCAAUUCUUACGACGGCUCGUUCAAGAUUUCGCUUCCUUCGUUAUCGUAUCAAUUCAUUUGUUGUUCCAAUCCUACCGGUGGUUUGUUGAAGACCUUCUCAAGUUUUGAUAUAUCUCUUUUAAUCCUUUCUACAAGAAUAAGUAGUAUGCCAAAUCCGUUGCUUGUCAUCAAUUUAAAUUGGUGAAGGAUACGCAUAACAUAAUUCUUAUUCUGGUUUCGUCCAAGUGAUUAAUCCUUUCUUUCGGAGUUUGUUUAGGAGUAAUAAAUUCUUGGCUUCUUGUUGUUCAUCUUACUUCCGGAGUUCUAUGUUUUCCGCAUUAUCUCGUCGCGAAGCUCCAUCUAAAUCAUCGCAAGGCUUCACCUUGUGUUUUCAAAUUCUCUUUCUUUUUAUCAUCCGUUUAUUACCGGAGUGGUGGUUCGUCAAGGAUUCUUUUCAUUCUUCAAUUGUUCAUCAAGAUUUCUCUCGAAGUUAAGACCCGUCAAGCCAUACUUCAAAAAUUAAACAUGGUGUUCAACACAUGUCUUGUUUUGAGGAGUUCAAGUAUUCUUCAUCUUGCAUUCCAAAGUGCAAUUCUUUCUACCUUAUCUUUUGACGUGGUGUUAUGUCAUUCUUGACAAUUUGAGUUCGUGUUUCAUGAUUCACAUGUUGUCAAGAAUGAGACAUUUUAAAUCCACCAAUCUCUUCGUUGGAGUUAUCUUGGUAUAGAUUUCACCUAAAGCCUUCCCUAAGGAAUAUUACUAAUUAUGGUGCUAGCAAUGAUCCAAGUUUUCUCCUAUCCUCUCGGCGAAAGCAGUUUUGCAUCUCUUCGUUGAUCUCAAGCAAGCAAUUGUUUCCGUUAGUGGCCGGUUGUCACCUCAUAGUUUUGAGAUGUUUUCCAUAAGCCCACUACAAGCUUAUUCAUUUUGUUGUUGGUUUUUCCCAACAACCCCGUUGUAACCUUCUUGGAAGGGUGCUUUCCAAGCUCAUUUGUGGCAGAAGUUGGCAUUUUCUUCUUCAUUCUGUUAUCCCAACGGUCUAGCUUCUAUUCUUUCGUUCUGGAAGCAUUAUGAUGUUGUGCUCUUCACCCAUCACCUCGUUUUGUCAAGAUCAUGUUAUUUUCUUGCUUACCCAUUUAACCGGAGUGUUGUGUCAUCCCUUCAAGUUCUUUUCAUCUCAUCAAGUUUUCUUCUCUUUUCUACCGGAGUGCUGUCCAAAUUCUGUCAUUCUUGUUCCUUGGCUAUCUCAUUAUACCGAGGUGGUCAUAUUCUAUUCGUUCGUGAAGCUCUUAUUUCCAUGUCUUUGCAACCUUCAAGUUCUUGUAAUACUCCUUGUUCAUCUUUUCUAACGGAUUGUUUGCAAUCUCGUUCAUCUUUGUUGUACUCUUUCUUUUAAAUUGCUCAACCUCUCAAGGUUCGUGGUUUCACUCGUUCGUCAAAGAAGCAACUUAGUUUUACCUCUUCUCUUCCUCUUCCGUUUCUCUCCGGUGCCAUCCUAGAUCUUGGGACGAGAUCCUCUCGUAGUGGUGGAGUGUUGUAACGCCCCGAGACCGAUGCUCCAGAAGACUUCCAGCUAUUUCCGAGAUUCGUCGUGUGAUUUAUUUGUUUGAUGCAUUCAUCAUUGCAUCAUUUGCAUUGCAUCAUGUCAUCAUGCAACCCUUUUUAAAAACUUAGCUAAAUAAAUUGCAUAGAUCGUUGAUCUAUUUAAAUCGAGGGAUUCACAUGGUGAUUUCUCUUUAUAACAUAUCCUCUCGAUAUUUAGGGAGUUAUAAUAAAUAUUCCAUUAGUUUGGAAUUGAUCAAAACACACUUGCAAAAUAAUUUCGUUCCUUUUCUGCUUCAAGUUUGGUCUCCAACUUGCCCAUAAAUUAUUUCAUCAUUUUCCGGAGCUCCACCAAAAAUCCGAACAUUUUUGGACACUUCUAAAUCCUAGUCCUUGUUCAAACCAUUUGAAUUAAAUUCAAAUGACUUUGAAUUUAAUUCUUGCAAUCUUGCCCACUCCAUUUUUCUUGGGUCAAGCGCAUUUUUGCGAGUCCGGGAAAAUUAUCCCCAUGCGCAAAUCUUUCCACUAACCUCUCUUUCUUUUCUUUAUUUUCUCUGUUCUGUUUUAUUUUUCAUUAGAGUGAGAGAGAGCCCAGCCUAACCAACAAACCAGGCCGGCCCAUUUGCCUGGAGGUCCAGCCCACCUAACCCCUUCCUAACCCUAGCCCCCUGCCCGAUCCCCAUCCAUAUCUCCCUCGUCCUCCCUUCUGCGCCGCACACCCGCAUCUUCCCCUCACCCGAUCGUUCCCCUGCUCCCUUCCCUUGCGCCGCAACUCCCCUCCGCUCGCAUGCAUCGAGCCAGUGAGAUGAGGUCCCAGCGCCCGAUCCCUUCGCCGCCUCCAACCUGAGACCCCCACGCCCGCAACCAGCGAGGAAGCCUCUCCCUUUCCCCUCGCCGCCUCCUCCCUCCACUGGCGCCAUCCGUCCCCGUCGCCCGAGCGCUCAAGGAGAGCCGCUCCUCGAGCUCGUCGCCACUGCCUGCUCCCUCCGCCAAGCGACCGCCGCCGCCCUCGACCUACCUCGCCGCCGACCUCCUUUGCCCCGUCGCGUCGUUCCUCAAGGUCCCGCGCCCUGUUUCUCCUCCCGCGCCGACGCCCUCCUUCGGCUGCUCGCGCCUGCAGCUCCGUCCGCGAGCUCGUGCAGCCAUGGCCGCCACAGGAGCCUCGCGCCCGACCCCCUCGCUGAGGCCAUGGAUGUCCGCGGCCCCGCCUUCCUGCACCUCCACACGCCGCCCGCACACGCCACCAACCGCUGCUCCGCCUCCAUCGAGCUCCAUCCCCUGCCGUCACUGGAUCGCCAAGAUGCAACCCCGACCCCGUUGGCCCCUUCCUCGUACAACGCUCAAGCCUUCAUGCCCGAGGCCUUCGUCAUCUCUCUGUGUUGCUCUGCGUGCGACCUUGUCAGCCACAUGGUCGCCACCUCUGCAGCCUCCUGCUGCUGUUUCGUGCACCUCCGCUGCCGGUCGCAAGGACACCAAGACCCGAGGCCCUGGUGUUGCUUCGUUUUGGAUCGUCAAGACCGACAAGAUCGACUACACAAAACUGCCAGUACCUCUACGCACAGAUACACCAAGACCGUCCCGGAUAAUGUCUUGUACCACGACUGCAGCCGGUGUGCAUUUUUGUCAAGUCCGACUACACGUGUACGACUACAUCCGAGGUGGAUUUCGUCAAGUACCCCUUCGGAUGGGCCAAGUUCGACUACAUGGUCCGCCAAGUUCCUCUACUGAUGACUCAAACGCCUACGAACCGUGUACAACUACCGUCGCCGUGUACAACUACUUCCCACUACGAAAUGUGUACAACUACUUCCACGACGUCCGUGAACCACUACCUCCACUACGGCCGUGAACGACUACUUCCCUCUACGAAACGCGAACCGUCCCGUUUGAACGCUUUGAAGGUAUAACCCGAAACGACCGCCGUGGACCGAAUGCAUGUUGUAUGAGAUGCACCGUUUGCACCGUGUCCGUAUUGCCCCUCUUUUGCCAUGCCACCGUCAUGUGGGACACCCGGUAUCCGGGAUCACCCCACCAUCUUGCAUGACUCGCUCACGUCACACUUCCUUUUGCACCGGUACCUCCAUGAGUUAUCGGGACCGAAAUGUUGCCGUGGCAUCAUUUUCGGAUUUGUUGCCGUGGCACCCGUUUCAUUCUACCAUGGUGACAAAUGCUUCAUAACAUGCUCAUGUCAACAUUUUCAUAAAAAAUGCAUAAAACUUGCAUAUGUCAUCCGCAUCAUGAUAACAACAUUUAAAUGCUUAAACUUGUUGUUGCAUUAAAUUGCUAAAUGCAUAUGGGGAUUUACCGGAUUUGUUGUUUUUAUAUCCGGCCCCAUUUAAAUUGUUUAGAUGGUAUAGUUUUUUGUUAUGCUUCACCUCUUGCCAUGCUUAACAACAUUUAAUAUUGAUGAGUAGCAUAACGAGAGCGAACUAAAUAAUUGAUGUGGUGUUCCGUCAAUAUGCAACUCGUUGCAUAUUGAGCUCCACUUAAAUUGUAGUGUUGUUUGUUUCACCUUGCCAUGUCAUGCCUCAUUAAACCGGACAUGCACCAUACUUGAUUGUGCUUCAUGCCAUGUUUAUGUGAUGGUUGUUUACUAUGUUGUUUGUUUCUUUUCGGGUUGCUUCUCUCGUUAGCUUCGGUUUCGUUCCUGAGUUGUGAGGAUCCAUUCGACUUCGUCCGUUUGUCUUCUUCAUGGACUCGUUCUUCUUCCUUGCGGGAUCUCAGGCAAGAUGAUCAUACCCUCGAAAUCACUACUAUCUUUGCUAUGCUAGUUUGCUCGCUCUUUUGCUAUGCCAAUGCUAUGAUGCCUACCAUUUGCUUGUCAGCCUCCCAAAUUGCCAUGUCAAACCUCUAACCAUCCUUUCCUAGCAAACCGUUGUUUGGCUAUGUUACCGCUUUGCUCAGCCCCUCUUAUAGCGUUGUUAGUUGCAGGUGAAGAUGAAGUUUGUUCCUUGUUGGAACAUGGAGAUGUUGUUCCUUGUUUGAACAUGUUUACUUGUUGGGAUAUCACAAUAUAUCUUAUUUAAUUAAUGCAUCUAUAUACUUGGUAAAGGGUGGAAGGCUCGGCCUUAUGCCUGGUGUUUUGUUCCACUCUUGUCGCCCUAGUUUCCGUCAUAUCGGUGUUAUGUUCCCGGAUUUUGCAUUCCUUACGCGGUUGGGCUAUAAUGGGAACCCCUUGACAGUUCGCUUUGAAUAAAACUCCUCCAGCAAGGCCCAACCUUGGUUUUACCAUUUGCCUACCUAAGCCUUUUUCCCUUGGGUUCUGCAGACUCAAGGGUCAUCUUUAUUUUACCCCCCACCCCGGGCCAGUGCUCCUCUGAGUGUUGGUCCAAACUAGAGCACCGUGCGGGACCAUUCCUUGGCAACUUGGAUUACGUCGGUACCUGUAUGCUUAGCUUAUCCGGUGUGCCCUGAGAACGAGAUAUGUGCAGCUCCUAUCGGGAUUUGUCGGCACAGCGGGUGGUCUUGCUGGUUUAGUUUUACCCUGUCGAAAUGUCUUGAUGUACCAGGAUACCGAGUCUGAUCGGAGUGUCUCGGGUGGAGGUCUAUUCCUCCAUUGACCGUGAGAGCUUGUCAUGGGCUAAGUUGGGACACCCCUGCAGGGAUUUGAACUUUCGAAAGCCGUGCCCGCGGUUAUGGGCAGAUGGGAAUUUGUUAAUGUCCGGUUGUAGAAAACCUGAAGUUGACCUUAAUUAAAAUACAUCAACCGCGUGUGUAACCGUGAUGGUCUCUUUCCGGCGGAGUCCGGGAAGUGAACACGGUGUUGGAGUUAUGCUUGACGUAGGAUGCUAUAGGAUCACUUCUUGAUCAUACUUUUAUCGACCGUGCUUGCCUUCUCUUCUCGCUCUCAUUUGCGUAUGUUAGCCACCAUAUAUGCUAGUCGCUUGCUGCAGCUCCACCUCAUGCCUUUACCUUACCCAUAAGCUUAAAUAGUCUUGAUCUCGCGGGUGCGAGAUUGCUGAGUCCCCGUGGCUCACAGAUACUUCCAAAACCAGUUUGCAGGUGCCUAUGUUACCGAGCAGGUGACGCAACCAAGCUCAAGGAGGAGCUCGAUGAAGAUGUUGCCCUUUGUGUUGUUUCGUUCUAGUUGAUCAGUAGUGGAGCCCAGUUGGGGUCGAUCGCGGACCUUUGUCGCAUUUGGGGUUCUUCUUUUAUUUUGGUUCCGUAGUCGGACCUUGAUUGUAUCUGGAUGAUGUAAUGCUUUAUUCAUGUAAUUGUGUGAAGUGGCGAUUGUAAGCCAACUAUGUAUCUCUUUCCCUUAUGUAUUACAUGGG